rnacentral:piRNA from 1 species
UCCGAAGAGAACUUAUUUGGCCUCGCUGG